GCACUUGCUGUCCAGUCUACGGGCCCUCCUUCACAGGAGAAAGCCUGCAGCAACCAAUCUCGUCCACAUCAUUCAAGAUCGGCUGCUUCCUAAUGAUGUGAUAACCGUCCUCAAGCAGGAACCCAAGUUCUCCGUGGAGCCGAAGACGUCAGCGCCGGAACUUUUAGCGUUUGUGUGCAAAGUCGGAGACGUUUUCAAGAGUGCGACAAAGAUGGAUGCACAUGAGAAAGUGUAGAUGUCUUACAGACGACCAAGCUGCCUACCUGUAGCCUUCAUAUAUUCAUCAUGUGUAACCAAACUUGCGAGCACAAUUCCUCAUUGCCUGACACAACACCUUGCCACGUGAAGUGCGCAGAUUCUGUCAAGUACUCCUCGUUCCAACUGCCAACUUGCCGACUCUGCGGAACAUGUGAUAAUGGCCAAUGCAAGAAUAGAACUUCGUGUAAUUGAGCCACACGUAGGCACCGCAUACGUGUGGUUCUGGAAUGUUGGAAUAAAAUGUGCUAUGUGAAA